rnacentral:rRNA from 1 species
UGAUCAUGGCUCAGGACGAACGCUGGCGGCGUGCCUAACACAUGCAAGUCGAGCGGAGAAAGUUCUUCGGAACUUUCUUAGCGGCGGACGGGUGAGUAACACGUGGGUAACCUGCCUUAUAGAGGGGGAUAGCCUUCCGAAAGGAAGAUUAAUACCGCAUAACAUUUUCGUUUCGCAUGAAAUGAAAAUCAAAGGAGCAAUCCGCUAUAAGAUGGACCCGCGGCGCAUUAGCUAGUUGGUGAGGUAAUGGCUCACCAAGGCGACGAUGCGUAGCCGACCUGAGAGGGUGAUCGGCCACAUUGGAACUGAGAUACGGUCCAGACUCCUACGGGAGGCAGCAGUGGGGAAUAUUGCACAAUGGGGGAAACCCUGAUGCAGCAACGCCGCGUGAGUGAUGAAGGCCUUCGGGUUGUAAAGCUCUGUCUUUGGGACGGAUAAUGACGGUACCCAAGGAGGAAGCCACGGCUAACUACGUGCCAGCAGCAGCGGUAA